rnacentral:rRNA from 1 species
AGGGCACCACCAGGAGUGGAGCCUGCGGCUUAAUUUGACUCAACACGGGAAAACUCACCCGGCCCGGACACUGGAAGGAUUGACAGAUUGAGAGCUCUUUCUUGAUUCAGUGGGUGGUGGUGCAUGGCCGUUCUUAGUUGGUGGAGUGAUUUGUCUGGUUAAUUCCGAUAACGAACGAGACUCUAGCCUACUAAAUAGAUCGUCGGCUUACAAACGCCGGCGAGACUUCUUAGAGGGACAGGCGGUGAUUCAACCGCACGAAACAGAGCAAUAGCAGGUCUGUGAUGCCCUUAGAUGUCCGGGGCCGCACGCGCGCUACACUGAAGUGAUCAGCGUGCUUUUUCAACCUACUCUGUCAAGAGUGGGGAACCCAAUGAACCUUCUUCGUGAUUGGGAUAGGGGAUUGUAAUUAUUCCCCUUGAACGAGGAAUUCCCAGUAAGCGCGGGUCAUAAGCUCGCGUUGAUUACGUCCCUGCCCUUUGUACACACCGCCCGUCGCUACUACCGAUUGAAUGUUUU